AAUAUUGCACAAUGGGCGAAAGCCUGAUGCAGCAACGCCGCGUGAGCGAUGAAGGCCUUUGGGUCGUAAAGCUCUGUCCUUGGGGAAGAAGAAAUGACGGUACCCUUGGAGGAAGCCCCGGCUAACUACGUGCCAGCAGCCGCGGUAAUACGUAGGGGGCAAGCGUUAUCCGGAAUGAUUGGGCGUAAAGGGUGCGUAGGUGGUUUUGUAAGCGAGGGGUGAAAGGCAAUGGCUCAACCAUUGUAAGCCUUGCGAACUGAAAGACUUGAGUGCAGGAGAGGAAAGUGGAAUUCCUAGUGUGGCGGUGAGAUGCGUAGAUAUUAGGAGGAACACCAGUGGCGAAGGCGACUUUCUGGACUGUAACUGACACUGAGGCACGAAAGCGUGGGGGGCAAACAGG
rnacentral:rRNA from 1 species